CCUACGGGGGGCAGCAGUAGGGAAUUUUGCGCAAUGGGCGAAAGCCUGACGCAGCAACGCCGCGUGAUCGAGACGCCCUUCGGGGUGUAAAGAUCUGUCAGUGGGGACGAAACUUGACGGUAACCACAGAGGAAGCACCGGCUAACUCCGUGCCAGCAGCCGCGGUAAUACGGGGGGUGCAAGCGUUGUGCGGAAUCAUUGGGCGUAAAGAGUUCGUAGGCGGCACGUCAAGUCUGGUGUUAAAGGCAGAGGCUCAACUUCUGUACGGCACUGGAUACUUGGGAGCUAGGAUGCGGUAGAGGGAAAGGGAAUUCCUGGUGUAGCGGUGAAAUGCGUAGAGAUCAGGAGGAACAUCGGUGGCGUAAGCGCUUUACUGGGCCGUAAUUGACGCUGAGGAACGAAAGCCAGGGUAGCAAAUGGGAUUAGAUACCCCGGUAGGC
rnacentral:rRNA from 1 species